rnacentral:rRNA from 1 species
GUCUAUGGCCAUACCACCUGGUGUAUUCCUGACCUUCUCUGAUCUCAGCAAAACAAACAGAUUUGGGCCUAGUUAGACUAGGGCCUAGGAGACUUCUUGGGAAUACUAGGUGAUGAAGACU